GAUGAACGCUGGCGGCGUGCUUAACACAUGCAAGUCGAACGGAGGAUGUACGGUGAAGAGAUUUCGGUCAAAUCAUGUGCAUCUUUAGUGGCGGACGGGUGAGUAACGCGUGGGUAACCUGCCUUACACAGGGGGAUAACACUUAGAAAUAGGUGCUAAUACCGCAUGAGCGCACAGGACCGCAUGGUCGAGUGUGAAAAACUGAGGUGGUGUAAGAUGGACCCGCGUCUGAUUAGCUAGUUGGUGAGGUAACGGCCCACCAAGGCGACGAUCAGUAGCCGGCCUGAGAGGGUGGACGGCCACAUUGGGACUGAGACACGGCCCAA
rnacentral:rRNA from 1 species